GAAAAAGCGUUGAUGAGGAGAAGUAGGAAACAUUGGCAUUCCAGAGAGAAUCACCUUGGCUGGAAGUGAUUCAUGACCGAUGUUUUCCGAAAUGCCCCUCGGAGCCUCCUUUCGAACCGGAACAGGGACGUUCUGUAGUAGAUGGGAGCGGAGUUUCUCCGUUAUCAGACUAGAGCGGGCUAAACGAUCGUUUAGCUAAACAGAGUGGAACCGCGCGCAGAGCGUCUCUGUG
rnacentral:ncRNA from 1 species